rnacentral:other from 1 species
GGCACCCUGCGCGGUGCGUGAUUGAGCAAAUGUCCUUGAACCGAUAUUUGAACCCUGAACGUCCCGAAGCCCGGCCACCCUGUGACGCCCCGGCUCCGGCCGGGGAACUGACGGGUCGCCCCGGGUCGUUCGCCCUGGUUUACCGAGGGUUCAAAGACUCAGGCUCACACGGCCGAGGCGGGGGCCU